CUAAACAAGGCUUGACCUGGAUUCAGAGAGAUGCAGUGAGGGGGCCUCUUUUCAGCUCCCUGGACCCUGGGAACUGUCUCAGUACAGUCAUUCUAGGCUGAGGGAUGCCUGAGCAUAAACCCGAAGGCAUGGCACUGGCAUCGAGACGUACCUUCUGCUCCACCGAAACCCCUGCUUCAGGAGGCACCAGAGUGAGCUUUGAAAAGUGAGCCAGCUGGACUGCAUAGGCUCAAGAAACAAGUUACAGAGGCAGAAGAAGGACCCUUGGAGCUUAGGAGAAAGAAAGGCAAAGAUAUCCAGACUUGAACUGAGGGGGAUUGCCAGCUUGAAAAUGAUCCAAGAACAAAAGAAACAUCUCUCACAGGUCAUCUAUCAAACAAAAACUGAGAAACAUUGCGGAAGCCAAUUCCAGCAUGACAGCAGGUUGAAUCAUCUGGAGUGGCAAGGGCAUUUCUCCAAACCUGAAAAGGAUGCAUUAAAUUGAUUGCUGCCAGACAGCUCAG